rnacentral:rRNA from 1 species
AGUGAACGCUGGCGGCAUGCCUAAUACAUGCAAGUCGAACGAAGUGGCGCACGGGUGAGUAAUAUAUAGUGAAUCUGCCCUGCACAGAGGAACAACAGUUGGAAACGAGUGCUAAUACACCCUAGUGUAGGAUGAGGCUAUAUCGUAUCAGCUAGUUGGUAAGGGAAUGGCUUAACAAGGCUAUGACGCGUAACUUGGCUGAGAGGAUGAUCAGUCACAUUGGAACGGAGACACGGUCCAAACUGCUACGGGAGUCAGCAGUAAGGAAUAGUGCGCAAUGGGGGAGUCCCUGACGCAGCAACGCCGCGUGGAGGAUGACACGUGUCGGGGCGGAAGCGCCUUUUAUCAGGAAAGCGGUACCCGAUGAAUAAGCACCGGCUAACUCCGUGCCAGCCGCCGCGGUAAUUC